GCGGCUCGAUGCGGCGCGCAAGCGCUUCGGGUGCAGCCGAGCUUUCGAGCCACGCGAUGGUAGCAGUCUACCGUCUAAAACCGCGAAACCACAUACCACGUUCUCGAGGAAGAGCGCCACAACGCAGUCCGAGGUCAGACCUCUCUCGUUUAUCGUUUUUGUGCGCGUUUCGAGCAAGUAUUUAAGAAUGCUCGCGAUUUUUCAUUUUUUUUCUUUCUUUAUCACGUUUCUUGGUACUGUCGUUCGUUUACAUUCGAUACCGACAUUUGACAACACAAACUAGAUCACGACAGUUAUCUCAGCAGCAUCACUAUUGCCUCGAAUGUUGUGACAUAGUGCAUGUAGUGCAAAUCGAUUGAAUACCGACGAUCGGGAGAAACCGUGACCUUGAAAGUUCACGUGCAAGCGGGACGUGACAGAUUAGGAAGCAAUUAACGCGCGUUAUCCAGCAAUGCCACGCUAAUGAAGAACAACCGUGGUACUCGCGUAUCUUCUUUGACAGAAGAAUGGACAAUCGGUUUACAAUGUGCAAAAGAUGUACAAAAGAAAGGUAAUCCUAGUCGGAUAAAAAUACUGAUGGAAGCAGGAGAAAUUUAAACUUUUGACAUUAUUCCUCAAUUAUGCUGUAUUCUUUAUACAUUACCUUAACAUCUCAAUCAAGGGGAACACAUUGUGCCAAACACUACUAUCUAUUAAACAAACAUACGACAAAUAUUAACGGAGUCUGAAUUUUAUAAGAUAUGAUUAAAUCAUAAAAUGACGAAAAUUUAAAGAUUGAUCAAAUAUUAAACUAUUUCUUCAGAAUAUUUUACGUGACAAUCUGGCGAGUGUAAAAGUAUAUUUUCGGAAUUAUAAUGAUUCGUGGCAUCUUAGCGAAACAAGAUGAGCGAUCGAGCGAAAAUGAGAAUUCACAAAAGUACAAACGCAAUAUCGACGCUCUGACAUCUCGCCAUUUAACUGCAAGAAUUGAGAACAUCGAGAUUAUCUCGAGCAAUCGCACGUCAGGGUGAUUGCGGACGAAAGACCGUCCGUAGUGGCAGAGCUGCGCACGGCGAACGACAUGAACGACAGCGAGAUCUAUUUAUUGAACUGGGACGAAGAGCACGCACUGAAUAACGAUUUCGGCAGAAGUUUCUACAACGCUAGUUAUCCGCCGUUCAAUCGCACGUACGAAGAUCCCGAAUCUCUCUGGGAUCUCGCUACAGAUCGAAUUGGUCUCGCGAUUGUCCUGCUGCUCUUUUCCGUAGCCACCGUUUUCGGCAAUUCGUUGGUGAUCCUCGCGGUAUUUCGCGAAAGACACCUUCACACAGCUACAAAUUACUUCGUAACUUCGUUGGCCUGCGCCGAUUGUCUAGUGGGUCUAGUAGUGAUGCCUAUUAGUGCGGUGUACGAAGUGCUGGAGAACCGUUGGCUGUUCACAACAGACUGGUGCGAUGUUUGGCGCUCGCUGGAUGUUCUCUUCUCCACCGCGUCUAUCCUGAAUUUGUGCGUCAUCAGCUUGGACCGUUAUUGGGCGAUCACCGAUCCGUUCACAUACCCGAUGCGAAUGAGUAGAAGACGCGCGGUCAUUCUAAUCGCUAUUGUGUGGAUCUGCUCGAGCGCGAUUUCCUUCCCCGCGAUAGCGUGGUGGCGUGCCGUGCGAACCGAGCAAGUGCCGGAAAACAAGUGCCCCUUCACGGAAAAUCUCGGUUACCUGAUAUUCUCGUCGACAAUCAGCUUUUAUCUGCCGCUGUUCGUGAUGGUUUUCACGUAUUACAGAAUCUAUCGUGCCGCCGUGAUACAGACGAGGAGUCUGAAGCUCGGCACGAAGCAGGUGAUGAUGGCGUCGGGCGAGCUCGAACUUACGUUGAGGAUACAUCGAGGCGGUACUACCAACACCGAUGCCAAGCACCUGUUUCGCACCGCCUCGAGUACACCCGAAGAUCUUCAAGAUCUGGAAGAACCAUUAACGGCUCUUCACAAUAAUGGUCUCACUAGAGUACCUUCCACGCGGAUCAACAAGCAGCAUUUGGGCACGAAAAAUUUCUCCCUCUCGCGUAAGCUCGCCAAAUUUGCCAAGGAGAAAAAAGCGGCGAAAACCCUCGGUAUCGUUAUGGGUGUUUUCAUCAUUUGCUGGCUGCCGUUCUUCGUUGUGAAUCUAUGGUCAGGAUUUUGCACAAGAUGUAUAUGGCAGGAAGAAAUCGUAUCUGCAGCCGUCACUUGGCUCGGCUGGAUUAAUAGCGGAAUGAAUCCCGUGAUAUAUGCUUGCUGGAGCAGAGACUUUCGUAGAGCUUUCGUCAGAAUUCUAUGUUACUGUUGUCCAAGACGAAUGAAACGACGGUAUCAACCAGCAUUUAGGUGUAAACCAAGUCAGAAAUUCGCAUCCGGACGAUACUACUCCGCGUAUUCGCUCCAUCACAUACGAGGAUGUCGAGAAAAUUCCAGCGACCAAACCUACAUUUAACAACGGAAUAUCAUCGCGAGCUGGUCGUCGAUUGUUGAUAGUUGGAAUUCCUCGAAGCCUUUUUUCUAUUUUCAUCUCUACCAUUUCCCUCUUGUCCUUAGAGCAAUAGAUCAAGCAAUAUAGCAAUUAGUUUUGCAAGCCAUCACGAUUCUAUCUGAUUCCCAAAUCCUUAUGUAUCAGAGAUCAACGAACAUCAACGAAUAUCAACACAUUCCCAUAGAAUAUAGAUUCUCGUAUAUUUCCGGAAUGGGAACGGGAGGACAAGCAAGUAAUGUGAGCUAUAGCAGCGUCAGCCAGAGUAGCGACGGCGGUAUAUGUCUG
rnacentral:misc_RNA from 1 species